UCCUCAGAAUAAGUGGGCUUUUCCAAGCACUCUCCACCUGUUGCAAAGGCCUCCCAGCAGGGAAGGGGGCUGUCAGGGGCAACACUGCACUCUCCACUGUAACAAGGAGAAAGCCAAGGGCCACAGAGAGGAGUGCCUUUCCAGUGUCACUGCUCACUUUCCCACCUUUUGGGAGACUGGGAGGCUUUUCUACUACAUUCUGGCUCUGAAGCCCCAAUAUUGUUUGGACAUGCCUCCCUCCCUGGAGCAGGGAACCACUAAGUGACCUGUCACUUGUCACCAAGCAGACAGGCUCAUUUCAGCUCAUUGUGCCACCUGCAGUUUGUGCUAGUAGCAGGAUCCUCUGGGAGACAUCACACUCUCCCAACCUGAAAACAGGUGAACAGCUCACAGGUUUCCUGGAGAGGAUGGUCACAUGGCCUUGAUCUGGCCAAUCAGCAUUUUCCAUCCUCCCUGGCCACUGUGAUUGGCUCAGGGCUGGGCACCAGCCCAAUCAGGCUCCACGGAGGUCAGGCCUAGUUGCUGGAAUCCUGGGAGCAGAGAAGUUCUAUUUCAGUUGGGAGUUGAGGGGUGGUGAUGUCAGCCUGUGGCAGUUGGUGACUAUCUUGCUCUCGUAAAGGCAGAGCCAUGUGAAGAUGACACCAGUGGCAGAGCCCAGAGGUGGGGAAGGAUGACUUCUGCUGAUGUCACUGAGCACCAGGUACAGCCCUGCCUGAAGCUAUCUCCCUGUGGAUGUCUCAGUUAGGCUGUCUGCUGCAUGAGAAUGGAGACCUGCCUGCUUCACUCCCUGCUGUGCCCGGUAUAUGGAACCCGCCCAACACACAGUAGGACCUCAGCGAGUGUGUGACGGGUGUGUGAUCACUGUAGGCCACAGACAAUGGUCUUCCCAGCAGUGAUGAAACCCUGUGACAGAUCCUGUCCACAGAACCCUGCUCCUCCGAUCCUGACCCCAGGCUUUCCCAUGGUGUGUGACCCCGCAUGGGGUGCAGUCCCCUCCUCCAGUCUGACGUCAGUAAUCUUGGAC